AUGCAUGCAGCAGCACUGUGCAGAGUUGAACCGUUCCGGACAUGGUCACCGUGUCCCCAAGACCGGGCAUCCCGUGUCCAGACUCCAGACACGGAUCGAUCAGGCGCAACGAUCCGCCGGAGACCGUAUCCCAUGACCACUUUUUCUUCUCCGUUGAUGGAUCCCCUUGCCUUGGCCCUCAAGGAGACACCAUGCAGUUUUGUUCCUCCCAAGUGGCAAGUGAUGAGUCAAUGUGCUCGCAAUCAAGCGACCACGGCCGGAACCGGAAGUGCGCGAGGACUCCGGCGGGUCGUUGCCGCGCCCCACCAACACGACGAUACGUCCCUCUCGGCCUCCGGGUCUCCACGCGCGUACACCGGGCAUUCUCCGCAGCUUCGCCGGUCGCCACUCCACUUCCCGCUGAAAACAGCCCGACCCAGACUUCUGCCUAUAAAUCCACCCGUUCCCCUGCCGAGAGUCACUCCCCUGUCUCCCAGAUUACACCGCGCUCUCUUCCUCCCUUGCACAUAA
rnacentral:rRNA from 1 species